rnacentral:rRNA from 1 species
AGAGUUUGAUCCUGGCUCAGAUUGAACGCUGGCGGCAUGCUUUACACAUGCAAGUCGAACGGUAACGCGGGGGCAACCCUGGCGACGAGUGGCGAACGGGUGAGUAAUACAUCGGAACGUGCCCGGUAGUGGGGGAUAGCCCGGCGAAAGCCGGAUUAAUACCGCAUACGACCUACGGGUGAAAGCGGGGGAUCGCAAGACCUCGCGCUAUUGGAGCGGCCGAUGGCAGAUUAGCUUGUUGGUGAGGUAAAAGCUCACCAAGGCGACGAUCUGUAGCUGGUCUGAGAGGACGACCAGCCACACUGGGACUGAGACACGGCCCAGACUCCUACGGGAGGCAGCAGUGGGGAAUUUUGGACAAUGGGCGCAAGCCUGAUCCAGCAAUGCCGCGUGUGUGAUGAAGGCCUUCGGGUUGUAAAGCACUUUUAGUGGGAACGAAACGGUCCGGGCUAAUACCCUGGACUACUGACGGUACCCGCAGAAUAAGCACCGGCUAACUACGUGCCAGCAGCCGCGGUAAUACGUAGGGUGCAAGCGUUAAUCGGAAUUACUGGGCGUAAAGCGUGCGCAGGCGGUUUUGUAAGACCGAUGUGAAAUCCCCGGGCUUAACCUGGGAACUGCAUUGGUGACUGCAAGGCUUGAGUGUGUCAGAGGGAGGUGGAAUUCCGCGUGUAGCAGUGAAAUGCGUAGAUAUGCGGAGGAACACCGAUGGCGAAGGCAGCCUCCUGGGAUAACACUGACGCUCAUGCACGAAAGCGUGGGGAGCAAACAGGAUUAGAUACCCUGUAGUCCACGCCCUAAACGAUGUCUACUAGUUGUCGGGGAUUAAUUUCCUUGGUAACGCAGCUAACGCGGGAAGUAGACCGCCUGGGGAGUACGGUCGCAAGAUUAAAACUCAAAGGAAUUGACGGGGACCCGCACAAGCGGUGGAUGAUGUGGAUUAAUUCGAUGCAACGCGAAAAACCUUACCUACGCUUGACAUGUCUGGAAUCCUGUAGAGAUGCGGGAGUGCUCGAAAGAGAGCCAGAACACAGGUGCUGCAUGGCUGUCGUCAGCUCGUGUCGUGAGAUGUUGGGUUAAGUCCCGCAACGAGCGCAACCCUUAUCAUUAGUUGCUACGAAAGGGCACUCUAAUGAGACUGCCGGUGACAAACCGGAGGAAGGUGGGGAUGACGUCAAGUCCUCAUGGCCCUUAUGCGUAGGGCUUCACACGUCAUACAAUGGUCGGUACAGAGGGUCGCCAACCCGCGAGGGGGAGCCAAUCCCUUAAAACCGAUCGUAGUCCGGAUUGCAGUCUGCAACUCGACUGCAUGAAGUCGGAAUCGCUAGUAAUCGCGGAUCAGAAUGUCGCGGUGAAUACGUUCCCGGGUCUUGUAC